GGGUGGUUAGCUCACUCAGUUGAGUGUGGUGCUGACAAUGCCAAGGUUGCGGGUUCAAUUCCUGUUCGGUCCC
rnacentral:tRNA from 1 species